AUAGCAUAAUAACAUUAUUUAUACUCAAAAGAUAACUUCUUUUUAGUUGAAUCACUACUAAGUUACCCAACGCUUGAAAACUCAAAUAACCUGUUCGUUAUCGGUGAGCGUUAGCAUACCUGUUGAGCAACAUUGCGGUGCAACGUUGGCCAAUUUGCAUCCGCAGCUAUAAAAACAAACCACACUGAUGCAUUCUUACCAGUGACUAACUAACUAAGUGGCUAAAAACAAAAGCGAAUACAAUAAUCGAAACAUGGAAAAGAAACUUUUUUGCAGUACAAUCGUUGUACUUUUGCUUUUGCAGCUUGGGGCUGCUGAAGACAAUGAAUGUACCGCCGCUUGUCCUCAUAUACUUGACCCGGUGUGUGCGACUGAUGGACGAAAUUUUAAAUACUUUUCCAACAGAUGUCUACUAGAAGGUCACAAUAAAUGUGAGCCAAACAAUAGAUUCAGAGAAGUUGACGAAAGUAACUGUGACGAUGAUGAUUGGCAAAAAUAAUUGACUGAAAAUCUGCCAUAAACCAUCGAUUGUUCUUGUUCCGCCGUUCAGCUGUUGGAAGAGCAUGUUGAUUCCUCAACUUUUAUUAACUACGCUUGAAUGAAAAAUCAAAUAAAAUAAAUUACUCACCCGUUAUGGUGCGCGAAAUAUGA